rnacentral:rRNA from 1 species
UACGGAGGGUGCAAGCGUUAUCCGGAAUCAUUGGGUUUAAAGGGUCCGCAGGCGGAUUUAUAAGUCAGUGGUGAAAGCCCGUCGCUCAACGACGGAACUGCCAUUGAUACUGUAAGUCUUGAAUUCGGUCGAAGUGGGCGGAAUAUGGCAUGUAGCGGUGAAAUGCUUAGAUAUGUCAUAGAACACCGAUAGCGAAGGCAGCUCACUAGGCCUGGAUUGACGCUCAGGGACGAAAGCGUGGGGAGCAAACAGG